UUUUUUUGAGGUCAACUGGUCGACUCUAUCUUCAAUAGGAUUAGUGGGGGCACGCUGAGUGCACCCACUGGGUGUAGUCCCCGAGACUACGGUCGAAUGCUUGUAUUCGGCUGUAGUCUUAGAAAUGUGUGAUUUUUCCCUUUUUCACUCGGAAGUGAAUUGUUUUUGACAUCUAGUCGAUUGGUUCUUCGUAGAACUCCUGUGAUCUUGUGGCUCGCUACUCUGAGCUGGAAAACAAGCACACUCAACUCGAGCUGAACUUGAAGCUGGUUCAGGAGAAGCUGACGAAGGCAAAGGAGGAGACCGAAGGUAUGUUUGGUGAGACCCUGACGACUACUUUUCCCCUUGUUUGUUUCAAAAUCUGAUCUUGCUGUAACUUGCAGGUAAGGUAAGGGAGGCCCAACAGAAGAAAGACCUUGAACUAGCUGAGAAGAUCAAGCUUGCUGACGAGAAGUUAGCUUCAGUCACCAACCUUGAACAAGACAAUACCAAUCUGAAAGCUGCUCUUGGGAUCGCCAACAAGGAGGUCAGUCGACUGAAAACUGAUAAAGCUGCCCUGACCGACCAAGUCAGUAAGUUGACUGGGAAGAAAAAUGAUCUGGAGGCCUUCCUGAGUGGACUCGCCAAGAAGCUGUUUCUUAUGCUUGAAGGUAAACCUCUAUGCUCGGCAAUCAUUUCCAAUCGUGGUUUUUCCAUUCGACCAUUCCCUUGACUCAGUGAUCGUCCUUGCAGAAUUUUGCCAAAACUUUGAAGAAGAAACUAGCCGGCUGGAGCCAAACCUCGACCCCGUCAAUUCUCCGGUGAACGACGAAGUUGCCAUGGAUGUUUUCCGACUGGAGUCCCGUGUUGCAGCUGUCGUGGACUAUCUCGCAAGGCUGAAGGUCGCCACAUCUCGCAUCGACUCGACGGUCUGGCCCGGGGAGACACUUCAGAAUGACCUUGAGUCGCUGAUGGCUCGCUUGAACACGAUCCCUGGUCGAGUGCAGGAAUGGAAGAAGUCCUCGGCUCGGUGCGGUGCAGAUGUUGCUCUGUGUCUGGCCCGAGUCCACUGCAAAGAUGCGCGAGAAGAGAAGCUGGCGGCCCUCCGGGUGGCCAACACCAAGAAACACGACUUCAGGUCCUUUAUGGAAACUUUCCUUGCGGCUGCCACUCGGAUCGCAGACGGAAUUGAUCUUGAUGAGUUUGUUGCACCUUCCAGCCCUCCACAGGAGGGGUAAAAAACUUCUUCUAGCUCGACGCUUUAAAUUUGCCUCGGUAUGCCGAGUGGAAUUGUAACCGAUAAACCUUAACGGGCUUAACGCCUGAGCACUUUCGGUUCCUUUAGAUAUCGAUUCGAACUUGAAUUUGGUGCUUGAAUAUGAUUGCUUUUGGCUCGAAAUGUCUUUUGCAGGUUCAAAGCAGGGCGCCUUUACUGCAAUCGACUUAUUCCUUAGUCCACUUAGGCGAGCACUGGGCUGCGGCUAAGCCUCCGAGUGGAAGUUCGGCUUACCACUCGGUAGGAUUUUUAUAACUUAGGCGAGUACUUGGACUGCAUCUAAGCCUCCGAGUGAGAGGUUUGCUCUUCACUCGGUAGGAUUUUUAUAUCUUAGGCGAGCACUGGGCUGCAGCUAAGCCCCCGAGUGAGAGGUUUGCUCUUCACUCGGUAGGAUUUCGAUAACUUAGGCGAGUACUUGGACUGCAGCUAAGCCUCCGAGUGGAAGUCCGGCUUACCACUCGGUAGGAUUUUUAUAUCUUGGGCGAGCACUGGGCUGCAGCUAAGCCUCCGAGUGAGAGGUUUGCUCUUCACUCGGUAGGAUUUCGAUAACUUAGGCGAGUACUUGGACUGCAGCUAAGCCUCCGAGUGGAAGUCCGGCUUACCACUCGGUAGGAUUUUUAUAUCUUAGGCNNNNNNNNNNNNNNNNNNNNNNNNNNNNNNNNNNNNNNNNNNNNNNNNNNNNNNNNNNNNNNNNNNNNNNNNNNNNNNNNNNNNNNNNNNNNNNNNNNNNNNNNNNNNNNNNNNNNNNNNNNNNNNNNNNNNNNNNNNNNNNNNNNNNNNNNNNNNNNNNNNNNNNNNNNNNNNNNNNNNNNNNNNNNNNNNNNNNNNNNNNNNNNNNNNNNNNNNNNNNNNNNNNNNNNNNNNNNNNNNNNNNNNNNNNNNNNNNNNNNNNNNNNNNNNNNNNNUUUGAUAACUUAGGUGAGUACUUGGACUGCAGCUAAGCCUCCGAGUGGAAGUCCGGCUUACCACUCGGUAGGAAUUUUAUAUCUUAGGCGAGCACUGGGCUGCAGCUAAGCCUCCGAGUGAGAGGUUUGCUCUUCACUCGGUAGGAUUUUGAUAACUUAGGCGAGUGCUUGGACUGCGGCUAAGCCCCCGAGUGAGAGGUUUGCUCUUCACUCGGUAGGAUUUCGAUAACUUAGGCGAGUUCUUGGACUGCAGCUAAGCCCCCCGAGUGAGAGGUUUGCUCUUCACUCGGUAGGAUUUUUUACAAACUUAGACGAGCACAGGGCUGCAGCUAAGCCCCCGAGUGGAAGUCCGGCUUACCACUCGGUAGGAUUUCGAUAACUUAGGCGAAACGGAUUCGCAGCUAAGCCUCCGAGUGGGAGUCUGGCUCAUCACUCGGUAGGAUUUUUACAAACUUAGGCGAAACGGAUUCGCGGCUAAGUCACCCACUGAGGGGGAAUUUUAUUGGACAAAAAUAAAAAGUGAUGAAAAUUAUGGAGGAACUAUGACACUAUUAUUUUGAGGUCCAUGAACUACAAAAGUACUUUAUUGCAACUCAUCCGAGUGAUAAACCUUAAGUGUAAAAUGGGCGGAGUAGUUCCGCGUUCCAAGCUCGGGGCUCGUCGAUAUUAUGCUCGACGUUGUAAAGACGGUACGCCCCGUUGUGGAGAACCUUGGUGACGAUGAAGGGACCUUCCCAAGAAGGAGCAAGCUUGUGUGGUUUGUGCUGAUCCACUCGGAGAACCAAAUCUCCUUCCUGGAAGGCUCGACCUCUCACAUUUCUGGCGUGGAGACGACGCAAAUCUUGUUGGUAGAUGGUCGACCGGAUCAGAGCCAUCUCCCUUUCUUCCUCUAAAAGGUCGACUGCGUCCUGCCGCGCUUGUUCAGCCUCUGCUUCGUUGUAGAUUUCAACUCGAGGAGCAUUGUGGAGAAGAUCACUCGGCAAGACUGCUUCAGCUCCGUAGACCAAGAAGAAUGGAGUUCUUCCGGUCGACCGAUUAGGUGUGGUCCGCAGUCCCCAAAGCACUGAGGGAAGUUCGUCGACCCAAGCUCCAGCUGCAUGCUUGAGAUCACGCAUCAGUCGGGGUUUCAAUCCCUUGAGAAUCAGGCCAUUGGCUCGCUCUGCUUGUCCAUUCGACUGCGGAUGGGCGACUGAAGCGUAGUCGACCCGUGUGCCUUGAGAGUUACAGAAAUCUCUGAAUUCCUCCGAGUCAAAGUUCGACCCAUUAUUUGUAAUGAUACUGUGCGGGACUCCAUAUCUGAAUAUUAGUUCCCUGAUGAAGCUAACAGCAGUACCGGCGUCAAGGUUCUUGAUUGGUUUAGCCUCAAUCCACUUGGUGAACUUGUCGACUGCCACCAGUACAUGCGUGAAGCCACUUCGCCCUGUUCUCAAAGGACCGACCAUGUCCAACCCCCAUACCGCGAAAGGCCAGACGAGUGGGAUGGUCUUCAGAGCUGAUGCAGGCUUGUGCGACAUAUUCGAGUAGAACUGACAUCCCUCACACUUAUCCACUAUCUCCUUUGCCAUCUCAUUCGCCUUUGGCCAGUAAAAUCCGGCUCGGUAUGCUUUGGCCACGAUGGUCCGAGAGGACGCAUGAUGACCACAGGUCCCCGAGUGGAUAUCAUUGAGGAUGAGUCGACCUUCUUCUGGUGUUAUGCACUUCUGACCAACUCCAGUCGCGCUUUCUCUGUAUAAUUGUCCUUUGAUUACGGUAAAGGCCUUAGAUCGACGGACGAUCUGUCGAGCCUCUUCCUCAUCCUCCGGAAGCUCUUUUCUCGGGAUAUACGCGAUAUAUGGAACUGUCUAGUCGGGAAUGACCACCAAGACCUCCAUGAUCAAGUCGACCACCGCUGGGACUUCAACCUCAGUCGGAUCUGUGGCACUCUUGGGCUGUGGAGCUUCUUCGGUGAAAGGAUCUUCUUUGACUGACGGAGUGUGUAUAUGCUCCAAGAACACACCACUCGGAAUGGCUUCCCUCUUGGAACCUAUCUUUGCUAGAUCAUCAGCUGCUUGAUUUUUCAGUCGGGGUAUAUGAUGGAGCUCCAACCCCUCGAACUUCUUUUCCAGCUUCCUCACUGCACUGCAGUAUCCAGUCAUGGCUGGGCUUCUCACGUCCCACUCCUUCAUCACUUGGUUGACCACUAAAUCCGAGUCGCCAUAGACCAUCAGGCGACGGACGCCGAGUGAAAUGGCCAUGCGCAACCCAUAUAAGAGGGCCUCAUAUUCUGCCUCAUUGUUGGAGGAAUCAAAGUGAAUCUGGAGCACAUAUCUGAGCUUAUCUCCUCUGGGGGAAACCAGGACAACCCCAGCACCGGAACCAUUCAACAUCUUAGAUCCAUCAAAGAACAUGGUCCAAUGCUCCGAGUGAACUUCAGUCGGCUGCUGCUGUUCAAUCCACUCGGCGAGGAAAUCUGCUAUUGCCUGGGACUUAAUGGCUUUAUUUGCCUCAAACUUGAUAUCAAGGGGAAGAAGUUCAAUCGCCCAUUUAGCCACUCGACCAGUUGCAUCUCUGUUGUGCAAAAUCUCUGAUAGUGGAGCGUCGCUGACGACUGUGAUGGAAUGAUCAGAGAAAUAAUGAGCAACCUUCUUUGUGGUCAUGUAUAUUCCAUACACAAGCUUCUGAUAAUGAGGAUAUCUCUGCUUGGAUGGAGUCAAGACUUCAGACAAAUAAUACACUGGGCGCUGAACUUUGAGAGCUUUUCCUUCUUCUUCCCGCUCGACCGUUAGCACAGUACUGACAACUUGUCCUGUGGCUGCGAUAUAGAGCAACAGAGGCUCUUUGCUGAUUGGAGCAGCAAGCACCGGCUGGGUGGAGAGCAGAGCUUUUAGCUCGGCAAAUGCUGCAUCAGCUUCUGAAGUCCACUCGAACUUGUCUGCCUUCUUCAUCAGUCGGUAAAGAGGCAAUGCCUUUUCACCGAGUCGUGAGAUGAAUCGACUUAAUGCGGCCAAGCAUCCAGUAAGCUUCUGGACAUCGUGCACUCGCACAGGGCGUUUCAUUCGGAGAAUAGUGCCGAUCUUCUCUGGAUUAGCGUCGAUUCCUCGUUCGGAAACGAGAAAACCGAGUAACUUGCCACCAGGAACUCCAAAUGUGCACUUUGAUGGAUUGAGCUUGAUAUCAUACCUUCUGAGGUUGGCAAAUGUUUCAGCAAGAUCAGCGAGCAGGUCGGAACCUUUUCGUGACUUGACAACGAUAUCAUCCAUAUAUGCUUCCACAUUCCGACUGAUUUGAGUGAGUAGACACUUCUGAAUCAUUCGCAUAAAUGUGGCUCCGGCAUUCUUGAGGCCGAACGGCAUGGUGAUAUAGCAGAAGCACCCGAAUGGAGUGAUGAAAGCUGUUUUUACCUCGUCGGGUCCGUACAGACGGAUCUGGUGGUACCCGGAAUAGGCAUCUAGAAAAGAUAAUCUCUCGCAUCUCGCGGUCGAGUCAACAAUUUGAUCUAUGCGAGGGAGAGGAAAAUGAUCUUUCGGGCAGGCCCGGUUGAUGUGCUUGAAAUCAAUGCACAUUCGGAGCGACUUGUCCUUCUUAGGAACCAUGACGACAUUAGCGAGCCACUCGGAGUGGUAUAUCUCUUGGAUAAAUCCUGCUGCCAACAGUCGAGCCACUUCCUCACCAAUGGCUUUUCUCUUCUGGACGGCGGACCGCCGAAGAUGCUCUUUGACUGGUUUUGCAGAUGAGUCGACUCUUAGGCGAUGCUCAGCCAGUCCCCUGGGAACACCUGGCAUGUCAGCGGGCUUCCAUGCAAAAAUGUCCCAGUUCUCACGGAGGAACUGGAUGAGCGCUUCUUCCUAUUUUGGGUCGAGUGUUGUGGAGAUGUGGGUCGGAGCUGCAUCGGGGUCGGUCGGGUGAAUGUGAACAGGCUUCGUCUCACCGGACGACUGAAACACAGACUCUGUGGCAGGUUUCUUGGAUCGCAGCAAGUCACUCGGAUCUGCGUUUUGCUUGUAUUCCUCGAACUCGACCGCUGUCACCUGGGAAUCGGCAAUCUUUGAGCCCUUCUGAAAGCACUCUUCUGCCUUUUUCCGAUCACCGGUGACAGUGAUCACUCCUUUGGGGCCGGGCAUCUUCAAUUUGAGGUACACGUAACAUGGUCGAGCCAUGAACCGUGCGUAAGCUGGUCUCCCCAAAAUGGCAUGAUAUGCACUCUGAAAAUCCAUGACCUCAAACGUCAACUUUUCUUUGCGAAAAUGUUUCGAAUCACCAAACACCACAUCCAGAGCUAUUUGGCCGAGUGACUCGGCUUUCUUCCCUGGUAUAACUCCAUGAAAGCUCAUGUUACUGGUGCUCAGUCGGGACAUCGGAAUGCCCAUUCCUUUCAGUGUGUCUGCAUACAACAAAUUCAGCCCGCUUCCACCGUCCAUCAGCACUUUUGUCAGUCGAGUGCCUUCGACGACUGGAUCGACCACCAAAGCUUGCCUCCCAGGGGUGGCAAUAUGAGUCGGGUGAUCAGAUUGGUCGAAUGUGAUGGGUAUUUGGGACCAUUUCAGAUAAUUUGCUUUUGCUGGGGCAACCAUGUUCACCUCUCGGUUAAUGACUUUCAAUCGACUCUUGCUUUCCACAUCUGCAAAGAUCAUCAGAGUGGAGUUGAUAUGCGGAUAUCCUUCCUCACUGUCCUCCUUGUCUUCGGCCUUGUCCGACUCCUUCUCCUUGUCCUUAGACUGUUUUCCCUGAAACUGCUGGAUCAGGAGUUGACAUUGGCGAGUGGUAUGCUUCGGGUAGAUGAUAUUCCCCUCUUCGUCUUUCUUCGUGUGGAUGUGACACGGCAUAUCCAUCACGUCGUUCCCUUCUUUAUCCUUCACCUUCUUAGGGUUCCAGGAUCCUUUUGGUUUCCCUUUAAACUUUCCUUGAGUCACGGCCAGAGCCUCUCCAGGAGCUGCCGGUUCAGCCUUCCGCUUCUGUUUCCGACUGGUGUUUCCUUUUUCCGACUGACUCGGCUUGUGCUUGCCGCUUCGGAGUCGGUCUUCUUCUUCACCGUUGGCGUACUUGGUAGCAAUCUCCAUCAUCCGACUCAAGGUCAUGUCACCGGUUCGACCAAACUUCAAACUCAAUUCUCUGUUCUUGACGCCAUCUUUAAAGGCGCAGACUGCCUGAUGAUCAGACACAUUCUCCACAAUAUGGUGCAAAGUGAUCCAUCUCUGAAUGUACUCUCUGAGAGUCUCAUUGGUCUUCUGCACGCAGACUUGCAACUUUGUCAGUCCAGCUGGUCACUUGCAAGUUCCUUCAAACGUUCGGGACAGAUCUUCCCAAGUGUAAAUGCUGCUAGGAGGCAAUUGAGUCAACCAUGCCCUGGCAGAACCUUCCAGCAUGAGAGGCAAAUGCUUCAUGGCCACCUCAUCGUUCCCACCACCAAUCUGAACUACCACUCGGUAGUCCUCGAGCCAAGUUUCAGGCUUAGACUCACCAGUGAACUUGCUGACUCAUGUUGCCAACCUGAAAUUGGGAGGGAUAACUGCGGCUCUGAUAGCCCUGCUGAAACAUUCAGGACCAGAAACAUGCACUCGACUGCUUGUGGGCGAAUCUCUGUCGAGUCCACCUCGAUGGGCUCUGUUCCGGUCGACCAAACCUUGCACGAUAAUGGAUCGCGCGUCGAAGCCUGGUUCUCUGGGGUCGACUGGAACUCUUCGCCCCGCACUGAGCUGACGCCUGUCAUCUUGCUGCCGAGGAGUGUAAGACCCACCCCUCGGAGGGGAAUUGGGCACUCGACACCUAUCAUCUCGGUCGAGUCGGUCACCAUAUUGGUCUCGUCGAUUCUCGCGCCCUUCACGCCGCGGAGGCGAUCUGGGGCUGUGAGCCGACUGAACCGUAUUCGCAGCGACGGAUCGACUGUGAAUUCUGUUGCGCGACUACGACACGGCUGAAUUCUGAUCUCCUGCUGCCCGGAGCAGAUCCCUGAUCUGCAUCAAGCCUCUGCCAGCUUCCGACUGAGAAGGCUGGAUAGACUCUGCUAUACGGGUUGCAGCUGCUAAAUUCUGGAUUGGGGUUCGAUAUACCUGAGUCGGCGGGAAGAGUUGACGUCGACUGUUGUCGGGAACUCGUUGCCGCGCGCGCUCGUCGAGUGCUCGCUGAAGAUUCUCCAGUCGAGUGCGUUCGGCCAAGUUGGCCAAACGUGCCUCCUCCAAGGCGCGAGCCUCGGGGGUUUCUCCUGUGAUGGGUGUACGCAGGGCAUCCACGUUCCUGCGGCGAAGUUCCUCUCUUUGCAGAGAGUCGAGUGGCUCGGGCUGGUACUCUUCGUGGUCUCGUGCGGGGUCGCCUCCGUCGCCUGCUCCACCAUCACGGGCGAAGCCAGGGGACUGCGGGGCCCGUCGACCAUCAGGAUUUCCGCCGCAGGAUCACUGCUAUCGCACUCGGAUGCAGUCUCCACGGAGCCAGUCGACAGAUCGAACAAGCCGUAGAGAGAUUCGUCGGGCUCGAUUGCCGCAACAUGAGAGGUGGCCGUCUGGCGAGCCACCGCGUGCCUCACCCACCGCUGAAGCCUCGACCGGCCCGAGCGCUUGCGCUGGCGGGAGACCGGGAGGGUGGACGAUGGAGGAGUCGACCGAUACGGGGUCGACGGUUGCCGCAGCAGAACGCCGCGGACACAUGCGCGAAAAUGCGUCGCACCGCGGACGGGGAGCGCAUCAACGUCGAGUGGAGCCUCCUGGAGCCAGGCGGAGUCGUCGGCGAUGAAGGUGAGAGCGCCGAGACGGAUCUCUCGACCCUCGACCAAAACUCCAGCAGCCACCAUCAUGAAAGUACUCGGAAGAAUCGCAACUUCUCCACAAAAUCGCUAAAACACCUGCCCCAUGGUGGGCGCCAACUGUCGUGGUUCUAAGCCUGACAGUAGAGUGGGGGUAGGUAUGGAGAGGCAAGGUCCUAGCUAUGGAGAGGUUGUAAACACAAGGGAUGUACGAGUUCAGGCCCUUCUCGGAAGAAGUAAUAGCCCUACGUCUCGGAGCCCGGAGGCGGUCGAGUGGAUUAUGUGUAUAUGAGUUACAAGGUGCCGAACCCCUCUACCUGUGGAGGGGGUGGCUUAUAUAGAGUGCGCCAGGACCCCAGCCAGCCCACGUAGGAGAGGGUUUAAGGUGAGUUAAGUCUGGGGCGUUACUGGUAACGCCCCACAUAAAGUGUCUUUACUAUCAUAAAGUCUACUUAAUUACAGGCCGUUGCAGUGCAGAGUGCCUCUUGACCUUCUGGUGGUCGAGUGAGUCUUCGUGGUCGAGUCCUUCAAGUCAGUCGAGUGAGUCCCUCAUUGGUCGACUGGAAGGUGACCUCUUCUAAGGGUGUCCUUUGGCAAGGUACUUAGAUCAGGUCCGUGACCCUACCCUAGGUACAUGACCCCAUCAGCAGGGUCAACGCAACUGGACCCAGGACAUACGGCUUUGAUUUAUUUUUCAUUUUGUUUUGAGUGGGUUUUAUGUAAAUUUAUAGGGUUGUGUUUGGUAAUUUUUAAAAACUACUAUUUGAUAACAAACUUGGUGGUUCACUCCAGAGUUCUCCUUUGCUGCUCGGGAAAAAAGAACUUUGGUUUUGGGGUACACACGGUGACAGAGAACUUUGGUUUGCAGCUCACUUCGGUUUCCCCUAGCAGCUCACUUUGGUUUUACUUGCCUACGGUGCAGUGCAGUUCGUUGCAGCUCCCUCCAAAUGUUAAAAUUUCAGGGUGCACACGAUGCUGGAUAAAAAACAAAAACAAGCAAAAAAUAGUGUGGUUCACUUGCCUUAUCCUAGCGGUCCACUCGCCUCGUCCUCGAAGUGCGGAAGAAUUUCCAAAAUUAAAAAGAAAACAAAAAAUGUGUGUGGUUCAUUUUGCAGUGUGUUUGGUCCUUGGAUAUGGUCCAUUUUUGAGAGUGAUGUUGUUCACUUGCCCCAAAUAUGAAAAUGCAAAAAGUUUAGCGAAACAACAAGAUGGUAAUGCGGUUCACUUUGAUAUAUGGCACGGCUCAUUUGCCCUAGUCUCCGCGGUCCACUCUCGUUCAUAAAAAAAGUAAGAAAAAAAGACAACAAAACACGUAUGAGAAAAUUUACAUCCAGCAAAAGAAAUUAUGCAGCUCGCUUGUGAAAGGGCAUUUCCCUACUUUAUGUUUUGGAUGAUGAUGACAACCCUUUGUGGUCUAAACGUGUGCUAUAUGUUUCAGGUUCUCGAUGCUUAGGCUUACAUCGGAUUGCUAUUACCUCUCGAAGGAAAAGAUCGAAGACGUGUCCUCUACGUUUUUAUUUUCUUUGGUCGUAGAGUACCCGUACUAUCAAGAGGGAAUCCUCAUUAGGAAGCUCUGGGGGAAUCAGUUCACGUACACUUUUCUCACCCUCUCUUUGCCUUCCUCAGAUGUGUGAGAGUGAGAGUUUUCCUUGUCUCUUCCCCUCUUUCCUGCUCACUGUUUCUGCCCAGCGGUUGUACCGCUCUCUGGAGCGGUUGUACCGCUGGGUCUUGUCGCUCACCAGCUUUUGCUCGAGCGGUUGUACCGCUGCCUCCGGGUGGUGGUACCGCCACCAUGCUCUGCAACAGCUAGGGCGGUGGUUCCGUCCAUGUACCGCUCAAGUACCGCUCUCGCCUCUGGUUUGAUGUUGUUCUUGGGCGGUAGUGGCCCGGUUGGUCCAGUCGUUCCUCGAUGACCGGUACCACCGGUGGUCCGAGCGGUUCUUCCGCUCAGAACUUAGUCGCCCAAGAGCUCAAGGCCAUGCGGUUGUUCCGGCCAGGCACCGCCCAAGUACCGGUCAAGCCCCUGUUUUGAUGCGGUGGUUGUGCGGUAGCCAGGCGGUUAGUCCGGUUAUCUUUCUUAGCCGGUACUACCACCCGCCUGUCCGGUUGUACCGCUUGGUAGGGUUCUGCUGUUACACCGUGAGUCCCGAUUGUACCGGGACGAGGACCGGUUGUACCGCUGCAGUGCAAAAACGCAGUAACGGUUGGAUUUGUGGGGAGACUACUUAAGGGGGCUUCUCCCACCUACCACUUCUACCUUUGACCUCUCUCACUCCACCAUUGAUGCCCUUCAAGCUCUCUUGCCCGAUCUCUCUCUCUAGCCACUCAAACUUGUUGAUUUGCUAGGGAUUGAAGGAGGAGACCUAGAUCUACACUUCCACCAAAGGAUAUUUGGUUCCCCCAUACUUUCUUGUGUGGAUUUUGUUACUCUUGGGUGUUUGAGCACCCUAGACGGUUGAGGUCACCUCGGAGCCAUAUUCCAUUGUGGUGAAGCUUCGUGGUUUUGUUGGGAGCCUCCAAUUAAGUUGUGGAGAGAGCCCCAACCUUGUUUGUAAAGGUUCGGUAGCCGCCUUCAAAGGCACCAAUAGUGGAAUCACGGCAUCUCGCAUUGUGUGAGGGCGUGAGGAGAAUACGGUGGCCCUAGUGGCUUCUUGGGGAGCAUUGUGCCUCCACACCGCUCCAACGGAGACGUACUUCCUCUCAAAGGGAAGGAACUUCGGCAACACAUCCUCGUCUCCACCGUCUCCACUCUUGGUUAUCUCGUGCCUUUAUUUAAGCAAGCUUACUUGUUUCAUAUCUCUUGCUUGCUUGUGUACCUAUCCUCGUUGCAUCAUAUAGGUUGCUCACCUAGUUGCAUUUCUAGACAACCUAUUUUGAUGCAAAGUUUAACUUGUUAAAGAAAAGCUAAAAAUUGUUAGUUGCCUAUUCACCCCCCCCUCUAGUCAACCAUAUCAUUCCUUUCAAUUGGUAUCAGAACCUCAUCUCUUUAUUAAGGACUUUACCGUCCAAAGAGUAUGGUUGAUACCGUAGACGGUGUGGAGGAACACUCCGGUGUGAAUCCGAUCUCGUCUACGGGAGAUGGGGGAACUUCAGUCUCUCGUGAGGAGUUCAAUGUGGCCUUGGAGACAUUGAAAACCUCCAUGAUGACCGAAGUCGAAAGCAUGUUUACUAAAUUUCUUGAGGGGCUUAAACUAUCCACCGCACCGUUGAAAGUGGGUGAUCCCACCAACAAGGUGACAGAUGCUAUCCCCGACAAGGGGGAAGCUAGUAGUGAAAAGGCUCCUUCUUCUAGUGGCAAGAAUGGCACUGGCAUCUUUGCCCAUGUGGAACCACCACUUGUUUAUGGUGGACCAGUUCCUUCCACUCAUUUGAAUCAUGCCGGUCCUCCCCCUUAGAUUGUGAAAAAUGAGGAUUUUGAUUCUUGGGUUUACCGCUUUAAAUGUCAUUUAAAUCAUGUGAACACUAACCUUUGGAGAAUCAUUGAAGAAGGUUUCUAUCCACAUGAUCCAAGCAACUUCACUCCUCGAGAAGUCGCGGACAAUCAAUUCAAUGAGAAUGCUCUCUUCAUCAUUCAAGAUGCUAUUCCACCCGAAGACCUACCUCAUCUUCGUCCUUUCGCCUUGGCCAAAGAUGCAUGGCAUUGUGUCGUGUCUCUCUACCAGGGAAGCGCAAGCAUUCAAUGCUCCAACUAUGAAGUGGUACAAGAUGAGGCCGAUGAGUUUGCAAUGAAGGAAGAUGAAGAACCUCGUGAGCUCUAUCGGAGAGUAACCAAACUCGCGGUCUCACUACGAGAUCACGGGAGCAAGGACACGGAUGACAAUUGGAUCAAGCGCAAAUUCCUCAAGGCAAUGAUGCCCUAUCACAAGGCCAUGUCCUCCGUCAUUCGUCAAAGACCAGACUUCCACACUUUAACCUCAAGCGAAGUGUUGGAUGAGUUUGUGGCCAUGAACAUUUUGGACAAGACCGCCGACAAUGCGGUGCUCCGUUCUCAAUGGGCAAAGAAGCCUAACCUUGCAUUGAAGGCCAAGCUCAUAGUGGAAGACGAAGAAGAGGAAGAAGAGGAGAGCAACCCCGAAGAUACGAAGUAUGCAUAUCAUGAACACAUGGCACUUGCUUCAAGGCAAUUUUGGAGCAAGAAAAACUCAAGGCCAAACUUUAGCAAAAACAACUCGAGUGGUACAAGGGGCAAGCAACGUGUAAGGACUUUCUACAAUUGCGGCAACGUGAGUCAUUUCGUUGCGGAAUGUCCGUAUGAGAAGAGGGAAGACAAUGGUGGCAAACUCAUCCGAAAGGACAAGGCCAAGUCGUUCCCCAACAAGAACAACUUUACCAAGAAGACUCAUCCCAAGGCCUUGGUUGUGCAAGAAUAGUACAAUGAGGACGAUGACGAUGAUGAAGAUGAUGAGUCGGUUGCCAUGGCCUCCGUUGCCAUUGCAACAAUGUCACGGGUCUCUCUCUUCGACUCACCCAACGAGAGCAUCACCGCCAAGUGCCUCAUGGCUAAAGCCACCAACAAGGUAACCUCCAACAUCAAAACUACCAUCAUUAAUCAUCCCUCCCCAACGGAUAGCAUUAAUGAAUUUGAGGGAGCUAAUAUGGAGGCUAAUGAGUUUGAGGCCUUUAUGGGCAAACUCAAGGGAAAAUCCAAGAAGCACUUUAUUGCUCUCUUGGAACAACUUGGUGAGGCCAAUGACAUGAUCGAGGCUCACGAAGACACCAUCUCUAAGAUGGAAGGACAUAGUCGUGACUAUGCCGAUGAGAUUUUGGAUCUUUCCAGUGCUCUUGAGGAAGAGCGUGGUCUUCGUUUGGCUCUUGAGGAGUCACACAACGUAGAUCAUGCUAAGUUAGAGAAAGAUUAUGAUCAUGCCCUCGUUGUUUCUCGUGUGCUAAAUUCCGAGAAGGCCAAACUCGGGGUUGAUCUUGCUAGACUCAAAGAGGAGUUUGAUAUACUUGACAACGCCCAUAAGGCCUUGAAGGGUAUUCACGCUAGUCUCAAGGAGUCUCAUGAUCAACUCCAAGUGAAGCUAACUAAGGAGAAAGCAACUUUUCCUCAUAUGGUUUUAAUUGAUAAUGCAAAUGCUACUAACCCGUGUUGUGAGCAUAUACAUCUUGUUGAGGAAAAUGCUAAGUUGAAGGAGCAACUUGAGAGAGGUCUUGCGACUUGCAUACAAGGCAAGAAGAAACUCAACGAUCUCUUGACCAACCAAAAGGGAGGUGUGGCCAAGGAAGGGGUUGGGUACGUCCCCGACUCCAAGAACAAGAAGAAGAAUGACAAGACCAAACGGCCUCCUCCUCUCAUGCAAACCUUUGUGAGGGAGGGAGAGAGUGCCCCCGAGGAGAAGAAGAAGAAUAAUGUCAAGAAGGGCAAUGUCACCCCUCCCAACAAAGCCGGCGAUUUUAAUCCUUCUUAUGUGUUAUGCCGUGCUAGUGAUGGGCAUGUUUAUGCCAAAUUUGUUGGUUCUCUUCAUGAAUACAUUGAAUGGUCUAUUUGGGUUCCUAAGACCCUUGUUACUAACAUCAAAGGACCCAUUACAAAAUGGGUACCUAAAACCAAGCAUUGAUCUCUUGUAGGUGUUUGCUUCCGGUGGUGGAUCAUGGUUGCUUGAUAGCGGAGCUACAAAUCAUAUGACCGGAAGCAAGGACUUGGUGGUGGACGUGCACAAGGUUCCAUCUAUGCCCACCAAUGUCGAGUGGGGUGAUGCCUCAUCUUCUAAGGUAUUGGGACUUGGCAAGGUGGUCAUCUCUCAUGAUCUCACGAUCGAGAAGGUCAUGCUUGUUGAGUCCCUUGCAUACAAUUUACUCUCCGUUCGUCAACUUGCAAUCAUGGGCUUUGCCACUUUCUUUGAUAUCGAUACCGUGGCCCUCUUGUGGAGCAAGACUCUUAAAGUAGCCUUUGUUGGGCAUGUCGAGAACGGUCUAUAUGUGAUUAACUUUUCGGAGCGACCCACUAAGACCGCGACAUGCCUAAUGGCUAAAGUUGAUGUGGGAUGGCUUUGGCAUCGCCGUUUAGCCCAUGUCAAUAUGAGAUCUUUGCAAAGUCUCCUCAAGGGGGGCCAUGUCCAUGGACUAACGAAUGUUAGUUUUGCUAAAGAUCGUGCUUGCAGUGCCUGUAUCGAAGGAAAGCUAUAUGAGAAGGCUCACCCUCCCACGAAUAUCAUUUAUUCAAAGAGGCCUUUGGAGUUCCUUCACAUGGAUCUCUUUGGGCCUCCAUCCUUCGAUAGUCUUGGAGGUAGGAAGUAUUGCUUGGUGAUUGUGGAUGACUACUCAAGGUACACGUGGGUGUAUUUCUUCAAGAGGAAGAGCGAGACCCAACAAACCGUCAUUGACUUUGCAAAUGAAGCACAACGUCAACACAAUGCAAAGAUCUUGACAAUAAGAAGUGACAACGGCACCGAGUUCAAGAACUACACCUUGGAUGAAUUUCUUAGUGAUGAGGGAAUCAAGCAUCAAUAUUCCGCACCAUACACCCCUCAACAAAACGGUGUUGCGAAAAGGAAGAACCGGACGUUGAUGGAUGCGGCAAGGACCAUGAUGGCGGAGUUCAAGUCUCCGUACAACUUUUGGGCCGAAGCCAUCAACACCGCAUGUCAUGCAUCCAAUCGGCUCUACCUCUGCAAGGGCUUGAACAAGACUCCAUAUGAUAUACUCACCGGUAACAAGCCCAACCUCAAGUACUUCCAGGUGUUCGGGUGUAAGUGUUUCAUUCUCAAGAAAGGUGUUCGGUUGUCUAAAUUUGAGGCUAGAGCUCAUGAGGGCAUAUUUGUUGGUUAUGCUACAAACUCUCAUGCUUACCGUCUCCUCAAUAAAUCCAUGGGACUUAUUGAGGAGACGUGUAACGUGGAGUUUGAUGAGAAUAACGGCUCCCAAGUGGAGCAAAGUGGCACUUGUGAUGUAGGUGAUGAAAUUCCUCCUCAAGCCAUAAGAAGAAUGGGUGUUGGUUUUAUCCUACCCAUUGAGGAACCCCUUGUGGCCGAAGGAGAAGGACAAUGCUCCACUCAAGUGGAGCCAUCACCAACCCAAGGCCCACACGCUUUCGAAGAACAAAGUGAAGGCCCUCAACCUCAUGAACAAGACCAAGGGCAAGAUCAUACUCAAGACGGUGUUGACACACCAAGUGAUGCCCAAGGUCAAGUUCUCUCCCCCGAGCAAGUUCAAGAUCAAGAACAAGUUCAUGACGGCGCUCAAGAUGAUCAAGUAACCGCUCCUCAACUCACCACCGAGGAGGAAUUAGAGCGUCGUGCCGCUAAGAUUGCAUCCAAGCUCUCUACCAAGGAUCAUCUCAUGACGAAUGUGCUUGGAAGCUUAAGAAAGGGGGUAAGCACUCGUACAAAAUUAGCAAAUUAUUGUGAGCAUCACGCGUUUGUCUCUUGUGUGGAACCCCACAAGGUCUAUGAGGCGCUAGAAGAUCCGAAUUGGCUCAAUGUCAUGCACGACGAACUCAACAACUUCAAGCGCAACAAAGUGUGGAGAUUGGUGCCAAGGCCAACGGGGAAUCACAAUGUCAUUGGAACCAAGUGGAUAUUCAAGAACAAGCAAGAUGCCCAUGGUAUUAUCAUUCGCAACAAGGCUCGUUUGGUAGCACAAGGCUACUCCCAAGUCGAGGGUAUCGACUACGGUGAAACCUUUGCUCCCGUUGCUCGUCUUGAAUCCAUUCGCUUGUUAAUUGCAUAUGCUUCUCAUCAUAAUUUUAAGUUACAACAAAUGGAUGUGAAGAGUGCUUUUCUUAAUGGUCCCAUUAAUGAAUUGGUUUACGUCAAGCAACCCCCCGGGUUCGAGGAUCCCUACUUUCCCGAUCAUGUGUAUCAACUCGAUAAGGCGCUCUAUGGCCUUAAACAAGCCCCACGUGCGUGGUAUGACCACCUUACCGAGUUGUUACAAGACCGUGGUUUUGAAGUUGGGCUAAUCGACCCCACUCUUUUUACUAAGAAGGUCAAAGGGGAGUUGUUUGUGUGCCAAUUAUAUGUUGAUGAUAUUAUCUUUGGUUCUCCUAACAAAGCUUUCAAUGAGGAAUUUGCCGCUCUCAUGACCUCAAAGUUCGAGAUGUCCUCCAUGGGAGAGUUGAAGUUCUUUCUAGGGUUCGAAGUGAAGCAAAGAAGAGAAGGAACUUUCAUCAAUCAAUCCAAAUACACUCAAGACAUGCUCAAGAGAUUCAAGCUAAGUGACGUCAAGCCGGCUACCACUCCAAUGCCCACCAAGUGCCAACUUGACUUAGAUCCCAAUGGUAAAGUGGUGGAUCAAAAGGUAUAUCAUUCCAUGAUUGGAUCCUUGCUUUACCUUUGUGCAUCUAGACCGGACAUCAUGUUGAGUGUGGGAAUUUGUGCACAGUUUCAAGCCGCACCUAAGGAAAGUCACUAUGUGGCGGUCAAACGAAUCUUUUGAUAUUUGGCUCAUACCCCAAACUUUGGCCUAUGGUACCCAAGAGGAUCAAACUUCAAGCUUGUAGGGUACUCGGAUUCCGAUUGGGCGGGAGACAAAGUGGAUAGGAAGUCCACUUCCGGAGGGUGCCAAUUCCUUGGUUGCUCUUUGGUAAGUUGGUCUUCCAAAAAGCAAAGUUGUGUGUCUCUCUCAUCCACUGAGGCGGAGUAUGUUGCCGCCGGUAGUUGUUGUGCUCAACUCCUAUGGAUGAGGCAAACUUUAAAGGAUUACGGUGUCACUUGUGACAAAGUGUCUCUUUGGUGCGACAAUGAAAGUGCCAUCAAGAUCUCUCUUAAUCCGGUGCAACAUUUCAAGACGAAGCAUAUUGAGAUCCGGGAUCACAUUAGACGAGGAGAGAUCGAGCUCAACUAUGUCAACACUCAUGACAACCUUGCAGAUAUUUUCACGAAGCCCUUGGAUGAAGCAAGAUUUCGCGAGUUAAGGCAUGAGCUAAAUAUCAUUGAUUCGAGCAAUGUGGCUUGAACCCUUGCACACCCUACCACGCUCAACUUGUUGUAUAGUUUAGGUGUAGGCAUGGACAUAGGGGGAGUGUUGUUCUCUCAAUGAACUCUCCCUCCCCCCAUUAUGCAUAAAUUGAUUGUGUCUUUCACAUUAGCCAUAUUUGAUGGUACUUGUGCUUCAAAGACGAUUUUUGGUCAUGGACCCAAGGAUAAUUCUUCGCGGUGCCAUACCAAUUGACUCAAACAUAGGUGGCCUCGACCACCGUCCUCUCUUCGGGGAGUUGAGGUUAGCCUUGCUGCUCUCGUGUUGUUUUCUCUCUUUCUCUCUUUGCUCUUUGUGUUAGGUUCUCCUAGGGUGUUGUUUCUCUCAUGUUUUUGUGCCCCUUCUUCCUCCCUUCGGAUUGCACUCAUUUGAUCUUGGCUUGGGCUUAGGUGGUCAGUCGGUACAACCGGUACCACGAGCGGUUCUACCGCUGGUACCGGGUUGUGCUAUCCCAAGGGUUUCCGUUUGGUGCCUGGGCGGUUCCACCGCACACUCCCACGGUAACCCACGUCCGGUACUACCGGUUGUUGCCGUGCGGUACUACCGCUGCCUUCCAGGCACCGGAAGUACUGCCUCCAUCCACCGGUCUGUACCAGACAAGCGGUACAACCGCUCCCCUAAGCGGUUCUACCGGGGCGUGCGUACGGGCCUAUAUAUUCUCGACGGGGCUGAAGGGCUGUCCUUUUUCCCUUCGUCCUCGUUCCUCUUUUUCUUGCCCUAGCCGCCGGCCAUCUCUACCCCUGCCCCGGAGUGCGUCUCGCGCUUCGGAUCCUUGGCUCUCCGUGGAUUCUCUCUGUAGAGGCCUUCCGAUCUCUUCCCAUGGAUGGUGGUAUUGCCUCGUGCUCUUUGCCUCUAGUUUUUGUUUAGGGUUAUUCCUUGCCUAGGGCUUUUCCCAUCUUUCCGCGUUUAGUGUUCGUUCUAUGGCUUAGAAGAGUUCUUUGUUAGCCUCCUGUCUUGUUUGCAGCACUUAGAAUUCGGAAUAUUGCUUGUGUGAUUCGUAUGACUCGGUUAGAUCUAUCUUCCCUGGUAGUGCCACUGUUAGUGGUUCUACCGCCCCUACGGGCGGUACAACCGCUGGAGCGGUACUACCGCCUCUACGGGCGGUACAACCGCUGGAGCGGUACUACCGGCGGAAGAUCUGGUACAACCGGAGUAUAUCAACCACUAAGCACUGCUCUAUCUUCUCUGUUGUUGCAACUUGUUCCUUUUUUGCUAGUGGGUGCAAUCCUCUCAUCCUUGUUGGGUUUUUGUGUGUUCUUUUCGUGUGUGUGUGUUCAGGUGGCUCUAGUUCUCGCUCUGCUCCUCGCAAGACCAAGAAGAGGGCACGAAGGACCUUGCGACCGGUUGUGUCAGAUGAUGAAGAAGUUGUGAUUCCCACCAAGCCCACUCGCCGUGAAAAGUCUGCAGCUGCUAAGCAACGUGUUGUCAUGCCGUUGCAUCACUGGAAAGCCAAGGAUUGGGAAGCCUACCGCUCAAAGAAUCCGUAUGAGGUUCCCAUUGCUCCUCGUUGGACCACUGUUCAAUUCCGGAAUGAGAUGCAAGUGCGGAUUGUUCAUGAACUCUUUGAGCACAACAAGAACAGAUAUGCUAAGCAGUGGACAAUUGAUUUUGAUCAUUGGAGAAACAACAUGGAGUAUUUUGGUGAGGCACUAGCUCUCUGCGAGGAGUUUGAUCUUGUCAAGAUCAUGUCAGUCAACUGUGACUUUGAUGUUCAACUUAUCCAUCAUUUCUAUGCCACGGUUCACUUUGGAGAAGAUGAUGCGCGCACUCUCACCUUCAUGUGUCGCGAUGAAUUGUUUCACGUUCCCUGGAGGGCUUUCUGCAAUGCUAUUGGGUACGAGGAUACCGGUCUGCAAGGAAGGGGUGGCAUUCGCCCUCAUGAUUUUCCUGAGUCCAUGCCUAAGGAGAAGCUUGCCCCUCUGUACAUUAGGGGCCGUGGGAUUAUUGGAGAAUCCAAGGAUUUGGAGAAGGUCUAUGACAUCAUGCACCGAGUGUUCUGCAAUGUGCUCUUGCCCAAGGUGGGCAAUCAAGAUGAGAUUCAUGGCUAUCUGGUUGAUUUGAUGGUUGCUAUGAAGACCAUGGUGGGGACAGGGGCAACGUUUGAUGUGUCCAAUUGGCUGUGGCAUGAGAUGUACAACAUGGUCAUCUACCGUAAAGUCCCAAUCUACGCUCCGUUUGUCAUGUGCUUUCUGAACUCUGUGUGGGCUGUUCAUCGUCCUGGAGAGCUCCUCACUUCUCCAGACAACCUCACUGUUCAUGAGGUCAAGCUCCUUAAGAAGAAGAAGCAUGCCGAGCCUCGCUUCCCUGAACAUGCUCCUGAGGAUGUCUAUGCUACUUCUAACGAUGAGAACUUUGAGCUGGAGCCAGGGGCCAAGCCUUCGUGGGUGGCCAAACUUACUACCAAGGUAAAGAAGACCUUUUGUCUCCAGGCUGACAUCCAGAAGAAGAUGUAUGAGGCACAUGUCAAUGAGAAGCUCGCACAGCGUCGCCAAAUUGCAAUGAUGAAGCACCUCAACAUACAGGUUCAGAGUGGCUCUGAGAAGAGCAUCACCCCAGAGGAGCGUUGGAUCUCUACCCAUAGCACCUGGACUGAUGAUGAAGCCCCCUCCCCAGCCAUCAUCCUCGUUUGCAGCAACUGACAAUGCCAUGGGAUUAUCUGAUCACGACGACGAUGAAGACUCUGGUGAUGAAGAUCCAGAUGCGACUGAGGAAUCAGAGGAGGACGCCUGAGCUUUGGGUCGCUAGCUUCGCUCUUUUCCUUUUUGGUGUCUUGAUGCCAAAGGGGGAGAGGGUUCUAUAGGUCUCGGGGAUUUGCUUGGGUUGUUUUCUCUUGUUCUUGUGUUUUUGUGUUUGUUCGUGGACUCCGUGCUGUGUGUGAGACUUGCUAGACUUGCUACUCCGUUUAUUCGUAGGUCUUUAUCUUAUUAUUGCCUCUAAGUAUUAUAUUGUCUAUCCUUUUGAGCUCAGAGUGAUGAGUCUAUAAAAUCUAGGGGGAGUCUAGUCCCGAAAGUGUGCCCAUGCUUUCUAAAAAAGCUAGUACUUGUUGGGGCACACAUUCAGGGGGAGUUCCGUCUAGAUUUCAUUGACUUAUCUCUUGCAAAUCGUGUUGUUGUCAUCAUCCACCAAAAAGGGGGAGAUUGAAAGGGCAUUUCCCUACUUUAUGUUUUGGAUGAUGAUGACAACCCUUUGUGGUCUAAACGUGUGCUAUAUGUUUCAGGUUCUCGAUGCUUAGGCUUACAUCGGAUUGCUAUUACCUCUCGAAGGAAAAGAUCGAAGACGUGUCCUCUACGUUUUUAUUUUCUUUGGUCAUAGAGUACCCGUACUAUCAAGAGGGAACCCUCAUUAGGAAGCUCUGGGGGAAUCAGUUCACGUACACUUUUCUCACCUUCUCUUUGCCUUCCUCAGAUGUGUGAGAGUGAGAGUUUUCCUUGUCUCUUCCCCUCUUUCCUGCUCACUGUUUCUGCCCAGCGGUUGUACCGCUCUCUGGAGCGGUUGUACCGCUGGGUCUUGUCGCUCACCAGCUUUUGCUCGAGCGGUUGUACCGCUGCCUCCGGGCGGUGGUACCGCCACCAUGCUCUGCAACAGCUAGGGCGGUGGUUCCGUCCAUGUACCGCUCAAGUACCGCUCUCGCCUUUGGUUUGAUGCUGUUCUUGGGCCGUAGUGGCCCGGUUGGUCUGGUCGUUCCUCGAUGACCGGUACCACCGGUGGUCCGAGCGGUUCUUCCGCUCAGAACUUAGCCGCCCAAGAGCUCAAGGCCAUGCGGUUGUUCCGGCCAGGCACCGCCCAAGUACCGGUUAAGCCCCUAUUUUGAUGCGGUGGUUGUGCGGUAGCCAGGCGGUUAGUCCGGUUAUCUUUCUUAGCCGGUACUACCGCCCGCCUGUCCGGUUGUACCGCUUGGUAGGGUUCUGCCGUUACACCAUGAGUCCCGGUUGUACCGGGACGAGGACCGGUUGUACCGCUGCAGUGCAAAAACGCAGUAACGGUUGGAUUUGUGGGGAGACUACUUAAGGGGGCUUCUCCCACCUACCACUUCUACCUUUGACCUCUCUCACUCCACCAUUGAUGCCCUUCAAGCUCUCUUGCCCGAUCUCUCUCUCUCUAGCCACUCAAACUUGUUGAUUUGCUAGGGAUUGAAGGAGGAGACCUAGAUCUACACUUCCACCAAAGGAUAUUUGGUUCCCCCAUACUUUCUUGUGUGGAUUUUGAUACUCUUGGGAGUUUGAGCACCCUAGACGGUUGAGGUCACCUCGGAGCCAUAUUCCAUUGUGGUGAAGCUUCGUGGUUUUGUUGGGAGCCUCCAAUUAAGUUGUGGAGAGAGCCCCAACCUUGUUUGUAAAGGUUCGGUAGCCGCCUUCAAAGGCACCAAUAGUGGAAUCACGGCAUCUCGCAUUGUGUGAGGGCGUGAGGAGAAUACGGUAGCCCUGGUGGCUUCUUGGGGAGCAUUGUGCCUCCACACCGCUCCAGCGGAGACAUACUUCCUCUCAAAGGGAAGGAACUUCGGCAACACAUCCUCGUCUCCACCGUCUCCACUCUUGGUUAUCUCGUGCCUUUAUUUAAGCAAGCUUACUUGUUUCAUAUCUCUUGCUUGCUUGUGUAUCUAUCCUCGUUGCAUCAUAUAGGUUGCUCACCUAGUUGCAUUUCUAGACAACCUAUUUUGAUGCAAAGUUUAACUUGUUAAAGAAAAGCUAAAAAUUGUUAGUUGCCUAUUCACCCCCCCCCUUCUAGUCAACCAUAUCGUUCCUUUCAGCUUGCCCGUCCGAUGCAGUGUGGUUUUCAUUCUAGAGCAGUGCGGUCUGCCGUAUGAUGUUGUUCAUCCCGUAAGUGCAAAAAAAUUGUUGCGGAAGCGGAAAAAAGUAAUGCGGUUCACUUCUAGAUAGUGUUGUGGUUUGUUUACACCCGAUGUGAAGUGCACUCUACUUUUUCAUCCUUGAAAAAAUUACGUUUGAAUAAAAUAAACCAUGCAGUUCUCUAACACGUCUGAUGCAGUGCAGUUUUUCAUCCGAUGGAGUGCGGUUUUCAAUCGGAUGAAGUACCCACGUUGAUUUGGGUGUCGCAAAAAACAGUGUCCACAUUUCGGUAAAUUUAAAACUUCUCUUAAACCGUAAGAAAUUAGAGAGAGUGUUCUACAUGAAAAAGUCGUCUUGUCGAUAUCUUUCCAACGGCAUAUCAUUUGAAUCAUUUCGACAACAGGUUUGCAAAACAUUCGUGAAAAACGGCCGCUGUCACUCGUCGUCCAUCGCACGAUUUUUAAAAUUAACUUAAAACCGUAAGGAAUCUCAAAAACAUUUCAACAUAUGAAAGUUGCGCCUCGUCCAUAGCUUUUCAACGGUAUAUUACACGCCUCGUUUCGACAAACGGUUAAAAAACUGGAGCGAAAACAGUACCAAAAAUUUAAAAAAAUUUGAAAAACAAAAUUCCGUGAUUUAAUAAAUUUGAAACUGCUCUUAAACCGUAACGAAUUAGAGAAAAUAAUAGUUAUGAAAAAGAUGCGCCUCGACGAUAUGUAUCCAACGGUGUAUCAUUUGCCUCAUUCCGAUGAGCGAUUUAGAAAAAAAACGCGAAAAAACGUUCGCUGCCACUCUUUGUGGGCCGCACCAUUUUUGAAACUGCUCUUAAACCACAGGGAAUAUCGAAAAGUGUUCAACAUGGAGAAGUUGCGCCUAAUCCGUAGCUUUCCAAGGGUAUAUUACACAGCUCGUUCCGAUAAACAGUUAAAAAAUUAGAGCAAAAACAGCACCGAAAAACACUACGCGCAGUUUUUUCCGACGCGAAGUUCACUAGUCUGUGUAAUGCAGUGUUCUUGCUAAAGAAAGUGCAGUGCCCUCAUGUUUAGCAUGUAAUGCAGAAGUGUUAUCAGAAUAACUAUUCUGAUAAUAUUAUCAGAAUAGACGGACUGUAUAUAUAUAACAUGGAUCAUCAAAAAAUAUUUUAUAUACUUAUUAGGUAUAUUCAGAGUAUCACACAAAAAAACACAAUUUUGAGAGAAGAAACCGAAUGUACUUGGUUUAUGUUGGAUUACUUCCAUGUUUUUAUCUUUUGUCGGACAAUUUUCCUUGACCUAUAUAAAUAAAUUAAAAUGAUUCAAGAAAUUUCAGAUGAGUGCUUAUUUAUAUAUGAACAUUAUAGUUGAUUUUUUUCUCAGGGAGAAAUACAACAUCUUUUUAAUAUGAAAAUUGGAUUUUCUAUUUUACAAAAUAAAACAGUUGUGUUAGUUUCACUUUUAUUUUUAUUAUAUAUAUAUAUAUGAUGCAAUAUAAAAUAUCAUCUAUAUUUCAUCAAAGAUAGAAAGUGAUGGGUUCCGACAUACGCACUGAUGUAACGAUGACAGGCCGAACUGAAACACCACGAGAAGAGAUGCAUAUAGCUAAUCCUUCUUUGUAUGUAUGUUAUACAUGAUAAUACAAAAGGUAUAUUUUUUAUAUAUCAUUUUUUAUAAUAUAGGAGACAUAAAUAUGGUAUUUGGAGAUCCAUAGAAAGAAUCCAUCGACAAGGGUUUCGAGGCGACAUCGCUGAAUGGGGUCGAAAAUUCAUCGAGAUUCUUACAACAUAAUGACGUGGAAGCGGUGAUAUCUCAUAAAACAAAACAAAAAAGGAUGUCAAUUUAAAUGUUACCGCACAAGGUAUUUUUUCAGUGUUAUUAUCAAUUUUUUCUUAAUCAUAUUGCCUAAUUUGGCUCAUUUUUGUAUCAUGCCGAGAGACUAUGUUUGUACACACUAGAGAUAUUACAGUCAUCGAAUUAAUCAUGUCUGCUCUCAAGGAAACUAAGUUCUUGGACAUUGGAGAUGCCUUGUUAUCAAACAACGAUUUGGAAUGCCUUAUGAAAGAUGAUAUAUUCUUACACGAUAGUGUAAGACCAAUUGCCUAAACUUUGUAAUUAAUAAUAUGAACAAUAUAUAAUAUCAUAAAACAUAAAUAUAAUCUAAACAUGGAAUUACAGAUGAUAAAUGCUUAUAUAUAUUGUAUGAUUGCUCGCGACCAUCUAUGAGACAGAGUGGGUGAAAAGGUACAUAUUAUUAGCAUGUUUGUAUCUGUCUAGAUAAAAGAAGAUGGGAAAAAGAUAUAGACCCAUCAAAAUAUCGUCACAUCGUACAACAUGUUAAUACUUAUCUACAACAAGAUAUGGUUAGUCAUUACCCAUGCAUAUAAUUAUGUACUAUUUUUAAUUAAUCCAUGUGUAUAAUUAUUUAUUAUUAUUUAUAUCUAAUUGUGACUGCGACUUAUAUGAUAUUUACACCAGCUAUUCAUUCUGAGUAACAUCCCGAGGUACCAUUGGUAUCUAGCAGUCAUCAAUGACAAAAAAAACAUGAGAUUCGUGUAUUGGACUCACUUGGUUCUCGAGUCAAACGAAGUGACCUUACUACUAUAGUAACUAUCUAUUGUUUUUGGUCCUCUUGACAUAUGUCUUGUUUGCCUUAAUCCCUACUAUUUUCCAUAUAGAAAAUAGUUACUAGGACUCAGAAGCAUCUGAAACUUGGAGAACAGAGUCCGGGGUUUAAUAGAGAUCAUAAGUGGCUCGAUCUCAAUGUUACAAAAUGGAGGGUCGCAGAACAGUUCGAUAAGGCAAUAGAAAUGGAUGGGUCAGCACUUGUCACAAAAAGAAAAUUAUUGUGUUUGCUACUCAUGAACACAAAGAUAUCAUGUAACAGAAAAUAUUGAUAGUAAAAUGUCGUAGUGUAUCUAUUAGCUGAUGCAAGUAGGUGGGUGUAAUGAACACUAUUAUUUGUUCAAAUGAUUUGUUUAUUUGAUUCAUCUGGGUGAUAUUCUAAAGCAUUAUUUUAUAAUAUUAUAGGGUAUCAUGUGGACUGUUUAUGCUAAAUUAUAUGGAAUAUUGGACAUUAGAUGCACUGUCGGAUUAGUUCACCCAGGUAUUUCAUUUAUAUACAUUAUCUUAUUAUUUUAUCUCAAAAUAUUAUACCAAAUUUAAUUUAAUUUUAUAUUUUACAAGAGGAUAUGAAAUACUUCCGGCGAAAAUUAGUUGUCAUUUUGCUCGAUUCAGAACUGAAUAAGCUAAAAGGAUGUCCGAUAUACCAUCAAUCUGACAAUGAAGAAAGUUUAUCUAAUUCUGAUCUGAGCUCCUGGAGAAUCCACCUGAUGGAGUCAAGGACAGACGCCCUACCCCGAUCCUAAUCAUACCAAUGGAUCAAUGUGAAUUACUUGACGGCCUCUACAACUACAUCAUGUCGAUUGAUGAUGCCAAGUGUUUGGAAUAAGUAUCAUUUAUCUGAAGGAAAUAUGCCCUAGAGGCAAUAAUAAAGUUAUUAUUUAUUUCCUUAUAUCAUGAUAAAAGUUUAUUAUUCAUGCUAGAAUUGUAUUAACCGGAAACAUAAUACAUGUGUGAAUACAUAGACAAACAGAGUGUCACUAGUAUGCCUCUACUUGACUAGCUCGUUAAUCAAAGAUGGUUAUGUUUCCUAACCAUGGACAAAGAGUUGUUAUUUGAUUAACGGGAUCACAUCAUUAGUUGAAUGAUCUGAUUGACAUGACCGAUUCCAUUAGCUUAGCACCCGAUCGUUUAGUAUGUUGCUAUUGCUUUCUUCAUGACUUAUACAUGUUCCUAUGACUAUGAGAUUAUGCAACUCCCGUUUGCCAGAGGAACACUUUGUGUGCUACCAAACGUCACAACGUAACUGGGUGAUUAUAAAGGAGCUCUACAGGUGUCUCCAAAGGUACAUAUUGGGUUGGCGUAUUUCGAGAUUAGGAUUUGUCACUCCGAUUGUCGGAGAGGUAUCUCUGGGCCCUCUCGGUAAUGCACAUCACUUAAGCCUUGCAAGCAUUGCAACUAAUGAGUUAGUUGCGGGAUGAUGUAUUACAGAACGAGUAAAGAGACUUGCCGGUAACGAGAUUGAACUAGGUAUUGAGAUACCGACGAUCGAAUCUCGGGCAAGUAACAUACCGAUGACAAAGGGAACGACGUAUGUUGUUAUGCGGUCUGACCGAUAAAGAUCUUCGUAGAAUAUGUAGGAGCCAAUAUGAGCAUCCAGGUUCCGCUAUUAGUUAUUGACCGGAGACGUGUCUCGGUCAUGUCUACAUUGUUCUCGAACCCGCAGGGUCCGCAUGCUUAAGGUUUCGAUGACUGUUAUAUUAUGAGUUUAUGAGUUUUGAUGUACCGAAGUUAGUUCGGAGUCCCGGAUGUGACCACGGACAUGACGAGGAGUCUCGAAAUGGUCGAGACAUAAAGAUUGAUAUAUUGGACGGCUAUAUUCAGACACUGGAAGUGUUCCGGGUGAUUUCGAAGAAAACCGGAGAGCCGGAGGGUUACAGGACCCCCCCCCCCGAGAGAAGUAAUGGGCCAUAUGGGCCUUAGUGGAGAGAGAGAGAGGGGCAGCUAAAGGUGGGCCGCGCGCCUCCUCCCCCCCUGGUCCGAAUUGGACUAGGAGAGGGGGGGCGCCCCCCUUUCCCUCUCCCUCCCCACUUCCUUCCCCCUCCUAGUAGGAGUCCUACUCCUACUAGGAGGAGGACUCCUCCUUGGCGCGCCUAUAGGGCCGACCGGCCUCCUCCCCUUGCUCCUUUAUAUACGGGGGCAGGGGGCACCCCUAGACACACAAGUUGAUCCACGUGAUCAUAUUCUUAGCCGUGUGCGGUGCCCCCUUCCACCAUAGUCCUCGAUAAUAUUGUAGUGGUGCUUAGGCGAAGCCCUGCGACGGUAGUACAUCAAGAUCGUCACCACGCCGUCGUGCUGACGGAACUCUUCCCCGACACUUUGCUGGAUCGAAGUCCGGGGAUCGUCAUCGUGUGCUAGAACUCGGAGGUGCCGUAGUUUCGGUGCUUGAUCGGUCGGGCCGUGGAGACGUACGACUACAUCAACCAAGUUAGCGCUUCCGUUGUCGAUCUACAAGGGUACGUAGAUCACACUCCCCCCCCCCCUCUCGUUGCUAUGCAUCACCAUGAUCUUGCGUGUGCGUAGGAAUUUUUUUGAAAUUACUACGUUCCCUAACAUUAUCAAUAUGUAAUGUGCCAGUAUACAUUGAUAUUAUACUUACCAUCCAAUUUUUAGAAAGGAAGGGGUCCGAAGCUCGACACCCCGUCCAAUGGGCUUAACUCUCAAAAAACUUCAGGGCAUACUUAACAUGGAGAGGUCUAUGGACAAUGAUUUUCAACAUGGUCGUGCGUAUACUGGCAUGUACCGAGGGAGUAGUGUUCACAGACCCUCCUAUACACUUCAUGGAUCUAAAAUUUUGUGUAGGUUAUGAUAAUUCUUCAUUCAAUAUCAUUAGUAUCAACGUGUUUCUAAAUAGUUUUUUACUUGGUCCAUGAUGUGGGAUUCAACCCGAGAUCAAAAGUUCUGCGGUAAGGAAACUAUUUUGAUUUUGGCAAUUUUGUUUGAUUGCUGGCCUGGGAUAGACAACAACAUCUCAUCGUGAAACAUGGUAAGUAAAGUCUUUUGUCCAUUGUUUGUCAUGGUUUAUUGUUGUUUCUAAUAGCUACCACUUGUAGAUUUAUCUUCCAUAUGAAUCCAUCGGUCAAUACAUCUUGUAUGUCAUCGACAAAGAGGCACGUCGUGUAUCUAUUUUGGACCCUACUCAUACAACACAACCAUCAGAGAUGAAAAUUCUAAGGCACUUGGUGAAAUUAAAAAGUUUUGCGAGGGAAUUCAAAGAAGCACUCGAAAUAAAGCAACCAGGAUGGCAUUCCGAUAUAUCCAAGUGGCAACGUUUAUUUCAUAAGGGUAUUCCAACAAGCGUGGACGGGUAAUAAAUUUAGAAUACAAACAUUAUUUUGUUAUCACCAUAUUUAAUAUAAUAACAAUUUAGGAAAUUGCAAGGAUUUGUCUGGCUAUUUUUUUUCAUUUUAUGCUCUUGUGGAACGGUAAACACUUUCACGUGAGUAUUGUGUGUUACACAUGUUUUUAGAUCUUCCAUGUGAAGUAUUCAUGCCAACUACAUAUAUUUGUUUUGCAGGAUGGCUAUGAGUUGAGGAAGCAGUUCCUAAUAUACUUGCUCAAACAUCAUGUGAAUGAAGCUGAAGACAACUUUCCUGAUAUUCUGCAAGACCUUCUUAAGGGCAUCAAGUAGAUCCCAAUAAUUUGUAAUAAAUUUUUAGUUGAAUCAUCACUUCAUAUGUAUACAUUGUCAAUUUGCCAUUUUGUUAUCAAUUUACAUUAUAAAUGAAGUGGACUUCAAUUAUUAUGCAAUUGUAACCGUGUUAUAUUAUCUCUACAUGUGAAAUUUAGCAUGCAUUAUCUUCAUAUAACUUCAGGAAAACAUUUCAAAAGCCUGUGGCAACGCACGGACAUUCUACUAGUCUCAACUUGUUUGGACUAAAGGUUUUGUUGUUGUUGUUGUUGUUGUUGUUGUUGUUGUUGUUGUUGUUGUUGUUGUUGUUGUUGUUGUUGUUGUUGUUGUUGUUGUUGUUGUUGUUGUGCGAUAUGCUUUGUACUUGCGGUGAAUUUUUGUAAUAGAUCUGAUCAUACUUGCAAAAAAAAGAUUGAAGAAUGUUUGAUGUGGUACAUUCAAUUCAAAAAUAUUUUGUUGCUCGUAUUAAAUGUUUCACUUUUGAAGGAAGAAGUGGAAAUGUUACAAUAGUAUAUGAACAGUGUUCCACCCAAACUUUUGUGGCAAACUUAUGUGGAACGUGUAUUUUCAUGUCGAAUAGUACAACACAAUAUCACCCACUACUGGAAUGAUAUCAAAAUAGUGAUGGGAUAGAAAACUAAUACUACUAAAAGUAAAAUACUUUUUGAACCAUUUGAUGGAUAUCAGUAGUGAAGUAUAUUAAAGAAAUCAACCUGUGUUAAAAGGAAGAAUAGAAAGAAAGGAAAUAAAUACAAGAAUGGAUACCCUACGUGACUUUCGUGCUGCAAAUGCGCUGUCAACUUAUUUCCAUUGUUAAGAAAAUACUACAUCUAUACCAAAAUAUAUGACGUUUUUGUAGGCUAACUAGCUAAAAAAAGUCUCAUAUUUUAAUGCCUGGAAAAUGUCUUAUACUUUGAUACGGAGGGAGUACAUGCAUAGUGUGUUGCAAAUGUGCGCUGUGCCGCCACUCCAUGUGAGAUCGACUCUUUCGAGCUAGAUUCAGCAAGUGCUCCCCUAACAGCAAUGGAGCCAAAUGUUUAAUUUCAUAAGAUUUCAUUUCCUCCAAAAUCCUACAAAAUUCAUUCAAUCAAAAGAAGACUUAAAAGAUAUGAUAAUCCACAAAUGAGCCCAAUCUCCCAAUGAACAAUAAAAUAAAUAAAAAUAGCAACACAAACUUUUUUUGACGAGCAAGAUGCUUGAGUGGGCUAGGAUCAUACAUAUUUCCAUGAUGAAAGGACAUACAAGGAGCUCGUGGCCAAAAAAAAAAUCAAGUCUCCAAAGUGCUUUUUUUGAAGUUUCUUUGAGAGCAGGCCCUUUCACCAUGAAAAUUUGUGCGCACUACAGUCAUACCAUAUUAGAGCAACUCCAGUCGUGCCCCUAACAAGCCUCCCAACGCGAUUUUUUAGCGCCGGCGCCUGAAAAUCGGCCCAAUCGCGCCCCCAGGAUCUCGUUUAUCACUGGUUCGGGCCGAAAUAGCAGCCGGCGAAUCCGAGCCGAACCCAAGCCCCCGGGGGUCGCCUGGGGGUGCCGGCCAAAGCGAAAAAGGGAGUGGGUCCGCUUUGUCGGCGAGAGAAGGCCCUUUUCUCGCCGUUUCCCCCCGCUCCCCCUCCCCCGUUUCCCUCCAUCCCCCCUCCCUCCUACCAUUCUCCUCCCCCCUCCAUCCGGCCGCCAUGUCACCGAAAAAGUACAUGCCCCCUCCCCCCGAUGCCGCUACCGAUGCCAACGCCACCGCCACCACUCAGUCGAAGCAGAGGAAGCAGAAGGCGCCAUCGUCCAAGCCCCGGGCAUGUCUAACGCCGACAGGAAGGCGGAAGUUCAGCGCCGGGAGGCUGUCACCACCGACCGGCGAAACAGGGCCAACGCCAAGAAAGCUCGGGACAGGGCGGCGGUGGCGGCGGUGGCGGCUGCGGCCGUGGCGGAGCAGGCAGAUCGCGCGGCCGAACAAGCCGAGGCAUCUCGCGCGGGGAUGAUGAAUCCACCCGGUGGCCACGGCCCGUACGCGUCCUGGAGCCAGCAGAGCGUCGGGUCUCCGGCCAACUUCUCGUCGUCGCCACACCCCUGGGGUUGCACUCCCUCGCCUGGCUACGCCGACGGCGACGAGCACGGCGGGUUCAACCCCAACAUCGCCUUUCCACAUGGUCACCCGGCCCAGCGCACGCCCUCACCCACGUUCGUCGGUGUCCAAUACCCCACGUACACCUACUCGCCGCCGGCCUAUGCAUCCUCCCCGACGCCACCUCUGCGUCGUGGCGCGUUGCUCUUCUCACAAGCCUCCUUGUCGCAUCUCGGCGACACCGACGCAACGGAGGCCGACAUGGACGACAUCAUCACGACCGGCUCGGCCGCCGCCGCCUCCCUCGGGUUCACUACCUAAGAUGAUACAAUGGACCUCCAUGGCGAUAUGGAGGGCGAGCUCGACUACGGCGAGGAGGAGCCAGAGGAGGAGCCGGCGCCUGCUCCGGCGAGGAAAGGGGAAAAGAAGAAGCGGGCGGCCAGGCCCGGCGAGCCGCGUGUCAAGUGGGCGUCCAAAGAGGACGAGUGCCUCGCCAAAGCGUGGAAAAUCGUCUGCCUCGACCCGAUCACCGGCACGAACCAGAACAGCGCCAACAUUGAGGGUCGGGUAUGACACGCCGGUCUCUCGCUCAUUCUUUCGCCCUGGUGCGCCGCCGACUGUUGUUCCUCGGCGCAGAUGGUGCGAUGUUCGCCAUGCAUCGCCAGGACAGCGGCACCGACCAAGAUUUCAAGUACCCACGUGUUUCUCGGAUCGAGAAGUGCGAGAAGUGGGCGGAAGUCCGGCGCACCCUCGCCAAGGCCAAGGAGAUGUACAAGCCGGACGCGCCCACGCCGAGCGCGUCCGAUGGGCGCCCGGACGGGAACAAGCGAGCCAAGUCAGCGAAGGACACCGCGUGCCUGUAAGAGUCCAUCGUGCAUCGCCGACGCCCAGACCCGCGCCGCCCAGAGGGAAGAGAAAACUAAGGCAUAAUGGUCGGCAUUGAUGACGAACAACGCCGUCAAGCUCGACCUGCUUCGAACCAACAUCACCGCGAAGAAGAGGAACACCGACCUGGCUUUCCUGAUGAGGGGGGGGGGGACAUGUCGGCGAUGGACGAGCAAGUCAAGGCGUGGUACCUGGCGGAGCGUGGCCUCGUCCUGAAUCAGAUGUCGUCGACGGCGGCGCCAACUCCCACGCUUACCCCAACGUCGCCACCAAGCCCGAGCGAUGAUGCCUCCAUGACGCCCAGCAUAAAAGCCGCGCCGAUGCCGACCAGCCCGCGCACGCCGACUCCCGGCAGUCCGACGCCGGAGGCCGCCGCCGCUGUUUGAUGCACUGCGUGUGCGUCCUUUCUUUUGCACGCCAAACUUUUUAUUGAUCGCUAAUCGCCGGACUUGUGGUGUUUUUUGGUAGCGGGAAUGAACAAGUUUGAAUUUAUGACGCCUUAAGGGCGUGGCUGGGACCAAAUCGCCCCAGGGCCUAAAAAUCGCCGGGCGAGCGUCCGAAAUAGCGUCGGCCUAUGCACUGGGGGCCGAACGAGUGGAGUUGCUCUUACUACACAGAAUUUGUGAGCUUGAUGUUUCUUGUGAUAUCAACUACUGCGCUAAUUUCAACUAUGUAGUUAUUGUCCCAAAUUUAAGAUGUGUUGAGAUUAACUAAUUAUUACUCCCCUUUUUUUAGAGAUUACAAUAGGACUACAUACAUAGCAAAAAUGGGUGAAUCUACACUAAAAUAUCUCUAUACAUCCAUAUGUAGUUCUUACUGAAAUCUUUAAAAGGAUGAAGCAAACAGAAUUACAGAACAAAAUAUAGUAUUACAUGUUAGUUUGAUUACUAUGCAAGGAAGGCACAAGAACCUAUAACACCAGAGCCACUAGACAGACAGAUCCAGAUGAGAAGAUGAUGCCGAAAAGGCAUAGGCAAUUUGCAGGGGAAUCAGAAUGUACAGAUGUUCCAGCAAGACACAAAAUAUAGCCUUGGAGAGAGAAAAGAAGCCUCAAAAUGAAUUAGAAUAUAUUGUAGCAUUAUUAUUCUUUGGGACCCACAAGGGGCAUCCCUCACAAGUUGCACUAGGAAAAACACAGACCAGACCUCUGGUACAUACACUUCAGUAAUAAGAUUUAAAAAAAAGCCAAAAGGGGGGAAUUUUAUCAUCCUGAUAACAAGAGCUACCACACAAUUCAACGAACACUAAAGCAGUUUCUACUAUACGAACAAAAACCCAAAAAAGGGGUGGGUCUAUAUNNN
rnacentral:lncRNA from 1 species